rnacentral:rRNA from 1 species
AUUGAACGCUGGCGGCAGGCCUAACACCUGCAAGUCGAGCGAGCAGCGGACGGGUGAGUCAUGUGUGGGUACUGCCCGAUAGAGGGGCAUAACUGUUGGAAUCGGUAGCUAAUACCGCAUCCUAUCGGAUAACCCAUAUGGGAUUAGCUAGUAGGUGAGGUAAUGGCUCACCUAGGCGACGAUCCCUAGCUGGUCUGAGAGGAUGAUCAGGCAAACUGGGACUGAGACACGGCCCAGACUCCUACGGAGGCAGCAGUGGGGAAUAUUGCACAAUGGGCGCAAGCCUGCUGCAGCCAUGCCGGGUGUAUGAAGAAGGCCCUAGGGUUGUAAAGUACUUUCAGUCGGGAGGCGUUACCGACAGAAGAAGCACCGGCUAACUCCGUGCCAGCAGCCGCGGUAAUAC